GAUUGUAAACUGCUUUUAUACGGGAAGAAACACUCCGACGCGUCGGAGCUUGACGGUACCGUAAGAAUAAGGAUCGGCUAACUCCGUGCCAGCAGCCGCGGUAAUACGGAGGAUCCAAGCGUUAUCCGGAAUCAUUGGGUUUAAAGGGUCCGUAGGCGGGUCUAUAAGUCAGUGGUGAAAUCCGGCAGCUCAACUGUCGAACUGCCAUUGAUACUGUAGGUCUUGAAUUUUUGUGAAGUAGCUAGAAUAUGUAGUGUAGCGGUGAAAUGCUUAGAUAUUACAUGGAAUACCGAUUGCGAAGGCAGGUUACUAACAAAACAUUGACGCUGAGGGACGAAAGCGUGGGUAGCGAACAGGAUUAGAUACCCUGGUAGUCCACGCUGUAAACGAUGGAUACUAGCUGUUGGUUGUACAUUGGUAUGAUCAGUGGCUAAGCGAAAGUGAUAAGUAUCCCACCUGGGGAGUACGAACGCAAGUUUGAAACUCAAAGGAAUUGACGG
rnacentral:rRNA from 1 species